UGGGGAAUAUUAGGCAAUGGGGGAAACCCUGACCUAGCCAUGCCGCGUGCGUGAAGAAGGUCUUAGGAUUGUAAAGCGCUUUCAGCGGGGAAGAUGAUGACGGUACCCGCAGAAGAAGCCCCGGCUAACUCCGUGCCAGCAGCCGCGGUAAUACGGAGGGGGCUAGCGUUGUUCGGAAUUACUGGGCGUAAAGCGCGCGUAGGCGGACUGAUCAGUCAGGGGUGAAAUCCCGGGGCUCAACCCCGGAACUGCCUUUGAUACUGUCAGUCUUGAGUCCGGAAGAGGCGAGUGGAAUACCGAGUGUAGAGGUGAAAUUCGUAGAUAUUUUGGAGGAACACCAGUGGCGAAGGCGGCUCACUGGCUCGAUACUGACGCUGAGGUGCGAAAGUGUGGGGAGCAAACAGGAUUAGAUACCCUGGUAGUCCACACCGUAAACGAUGAAUGCCAGUCGUCGGGUAGCAUGCUAUUCGGUGACACACCUAACGGAUUAAGCAUUCCGCCUGGGAGUACGGUCGCAAGAUUAAAAGCUCAAA
rnacentral:rRNA from 1 species